AUGCUUUCUUUGGCACCACAUAUAAUAAAAUUGAAACAAUACCGAGAAAAUUAGCAUGGCCCUUGCACAAAGAUGAUAGGCAAUUUUGUGAAGUGAGCAGAACCAGA
rnacentral:snRNA from 1 species